rnacentral:lncRNA from 10 species
GCUACAAAGCUGUACAGCAUGUUGCUGAACUGAAUACCGUCGGCAAUUGCAAUACAGUGGUAUUUGUGUAUCCGAACAUACGAAAGCUUCUACAAGGUGCGGAUCCAUAAGGAAGAUAUUAGGAAACAUCUAAUUGAAGCUUGAAGAACCAAAAUGAGGAAGGCAGAAUUAGGAAAGACCCUGUCCGGUGACGCCUCCCCUUCUGGUUUCCAUCUGUGCCCCCUCUCAGGAGCCGCGGGAACACAAGCCUCGAGCAGGCAAAGUCUCUUUGGAUUUGAAAUACAAAACCGUUAAGUGA